AGAGAGAGAAGAAGAAAAAAGAGGGAAAAAAGGAAAUCACAGCCAUACAGGCAGUGCUCCUCGACCAAGCCCUAUCUGCAGCUCAGCGGUGGGAGAGGACGUUAUAUGCCUGUCUGCUCCUCCCUCUCUCCAAAGGGUCCCAUCUGUCAGCCAUUAGUGCACCAGGGGCUGCUAGUGGAGAAGCUGGCAGAGCGUGUGGGACCAGGGGACAGCUUCACCUCCAGGUGCAGGGCACAGAGGAUGAGGGCAAGGGCAGCCACCUCCGCUCCACUCACACACAUGGCACACAUGGAGCCAUGCUCACAACUCUGGAAGGGAAUCCUGACUGCAGGCUAAAGAGGAUCCAGUUCCCUGCACUAUGUCUUUGACUAUCCAAGCGGUAAGCCAGAGGGCCAAAGCAUGAUGAGACCAGACUUGUCAAUAACCAACCAGCAAAGGUCCUUUUUUCGCAGGGGAGAGAAGUCAAAACAACACAUGCUGUCGACGUGGGAACAGCUGGUAAGAGUGAGCAGUGGAAUGCCGGAGGCCGGGCUGCAGAUCAAUCAUCUGCCAGGGUGAAAAUAACCACCCUGACCUGAUCACCACGCAAAAGAGAGCGACCUCCUCAACCCAUCUUACACUAAGACACCUUUCACGCAAAAUGUAUGUUAAACUCGUAACCACAUACAGUCAUGAAGACAUCUAGAUGUUCAUUGUCAAUGGAAUUAUAUCAAGGACACCUUUUACAUACUUUACAUAUACAUAUUCUAAAGAGAACAGGGUAUGUGGUCACUGGUGUUACAUAGAUUAUAUAGAUGCAGGCUGUGGUUCUCAAAAAUCAGUGUCCAGGCAGCUGAGGAAGUAAGGCCAUCAUUUUGCUAUUGCUGCUCUCUGAGAAAGUAUGGCAGCCAAAUAAACACUGCUAAGACAGCCUAUAGUUUCCUGUGCAGAGUUUUCUCUGUAUGCUAACACCACUCAGCAAAAGAUAAACUGUGCAGCCAUAAGUCAACACCAAACAACACAACUUGGACCUACUCACGCCAAAAGCUCAUCUGGAACUUAUUUUUAACUUUUCCGCCCUAUGCAUUACAAAAUUCUCUUGGGUAUACAAUAAGCACACCUUAGUUGGCUAUAGAAAGAAUGAGACAGCUUGGGCACUGGCUAGACAGCAUAGCUUGGUUACAUUCUAAUAAUAAUAACAUAAAUUUCCCCUAGUAUAUCAUAAUCAAUCUCACCAUACUUACGGUGAUCAGAUUUCUUCAGAUUUGUUCAAUACUUUCAAGCUUUAGGCUACGUUUUUAUAAACGGACAUUUCACCCUCUCUGUUUCAAAUAUAACAUUGUGCACACCUGUCUGUUUUCAGAAAAGUUUUCGUUUACACUAACCCGUGUAUAUAUGUCGUCAAGAGCAUGCCAAACCUGUAGGUGGCAGUGUAACGAGAAGCUCAAGCCCACAUUAGUCAAUCAGAAUCCCGAAAAUAGCAAAUGCAAACAGACAAAAAGAGUUUGCACCAACAUAAAUGCGACUGCUACUCUGAAUGCAUCCAUGAUCACCAUAGCUAAAUGAAAAUGUAAACAUAGAUUGCACUUUUGGCUCAGGUGCAAGUUCUGGUGCAUACUGAGAUGUUGGUUGCCUAAACCUCCAUUUUUGUCAGUUUACAUGCAAACGUGCAACCAAAGUUUUCCAAAAUCUCCACUCUGGCUGGAGUUAUUAGAAUAAUUUUCAGAGGCAAAUUAUCCAUUUGCAUUUACACAAAAUAACCAUGUAUGUGUAAACGGAGUCUCAGCCUCCACUUAAGAGUACCUGGUUAACAUCCAGGGACAUUGGAAUCAAAGACAAGGUUGUGUGAGAGGGCCCCAAAUUCUCAUUCAAGGGUUUGCUGACUUUCAACACCUGCUCUGCAUGUCUCUCAUUAACGCAUUCCUGCUAGCUGAGUGUCCUGUGUUUACAUUACUCCGUUUAAUGGAGACAUUAGAAGGUGAUGUUGUUCUACGUUGCAGUGUUAGGUGCUGCAUUUACUGAGUGGCCCAGGAGCAAUAAGCUCGCUCUUUAGUGAGCACAGGUGCAGGCAACAGAGUCUUGCAAAGGGCAAGACAUUUUACACGCAAGUCAAGUGUGCUUCAAUUUGCUAAAAAGAUAAAAUCCCUGUGCACUGGCUGUUUUUGGAUCCCAGGUGCUGGUGGUGUGCAGGAAUAUCAGACGUUAAAAUAUAAAGAUCAUCACCACACACUAGUCUAAUAUUAGGAAUUGUUUAUAAGGAGCGAACAAUGUGUAGCUUCUUCAGGUUCACUCUCCAAGUAGCUAGCCAACUAUAACUCACUAGUCAACAGGAACAAUUACACAGUUACAAACUAUGCUGCAGCCCCUGAUUAAAACUAGCUAGUUUGCUAACAAAUGUUUUUUCAGCGUUUUGGUGACAUGCUGUAAUAGCAAUUUUAAAAUUUACCUGUAAGGGUAUAUAACCUGUCUUUCACAUGACUAUACACCAAUCAGCCACAACAUUAAAUCAUCUGCGUAAUAUUGCGUAGGUAUCCCUCUUGCCGACAAAACAGCUUUGAAUCUUCAAAGCAUGGACUCCACAAGAUCUCUAAAGGGGUCCUGUGGUAUCUGGUAUCACAACAUUAGUAGCAGACUCUUUUAAGUCCUGUAAGUUGCAAAUUGUUAAGUCCUGUAAGUUGAGAUCAGGUGAAUUUGGAAGCGAAGUCAACACCUUGAACACUUUUGUCAUGUUCCUCUAACAUUUACAGAACAAUUUUUGCAGUGUGGCACAUCAUCAUAUUGCUGGAAAAGGCCAAUACAAUCAGGGAAUUCCAUGGUCAUGAAGAAAUGUAAGUGGUCUGCAACAGUUUUUAUGUUUGUGGAUUGGGUCAAAGUAACAUCCACAUUGAGUGCCAAGGCCCAGAGCAUCACACUGCCUCCAGCAUUUUGCCUUGUUCCCAUAGUGCCUCCAGCUGCCAUCUCAUUCGUGGGUAAACAACACACGAACAACUGGCCAUGAUGAAAAAUGAAAAGAAAAUGUGAUCCAUCAGACUAGACUUUCUCCUGUUGCUCCAUAGUCCAGAUAUGUCGCUCACAAAACAUCAUGCUAUUAUAGGUGCUUCUCUGGAUAAGGUUCAGCAUGUGUAGUCUGACCAGUCUGUGGCUAUGCAGUCCCAUACACAGCAAGCUGUGAUGCACUGUGUGCUCUGACAUCUUUCUAUCAUAGAGCAGCAUAAAGGUUCUAAACUUUUUGUGCUACAACAGUUCUUCAGUGGGAUGCACUCCCCACAUUCAAUGAGCCUUAGGCAUCCAUGACCCUGUUGCUGGUUUAAAGGUUGUUCUACCUUGGACCACUUUUGGUAGAUUGUUGACCACUGCAUACCGGGACCACCCCAAAAGGCCUGCCAUUUUGGAGAUGCUUUGACCCAGUUCUCUAACCAUCACAAUUUGGCCUGGAACAAAAUUGCAUGGAUCAAAAAAAUCUGACUGUUUGCUGGCUGCCUAAUUUAUCUCAUUCUUACAGCGAUGCCACUGUAUCAAGAUAAUCAAUGGUAGCCUAUUCACUUCAUCUGUCAGUGGUUUUAAUGUUGCUGAUUGGUGUAUACCAUCAAAACAUGCUUGAUGAAGUUAUGAAAAAAUAGCUAUCUACACAAACAUACUUUCAACACUGUGGAAAAAGAUUUUCACACUUCAUCUGUUUGAUAAAGUUGUUGGCUGCGUCUGACCAGGAAAGUCAGUGAGGUUUGGCGUAGCAUAAGGUUUUCAUCCUAAAUUUGGCUUAACAAUGAUUUGUGACUAGCCUGUACACACAUUGCAAUCAGAACCAUCACACUCCCCACUUCUACAAGCAAAGCGUACAGUAUGUGAUUGAGUUUGCCAUGUGAUUGAGUUUGCAUAAGAUAUCCAAGGGGAAAAUCCUGUCAGCCACCAGUGCCUGCAAUUCUAGAGUACAUAUUUGUAGUCAAGGGUCAAACACCAAGCUUUGGAGUAGCGCCAUUCAUUAUUCUGAUGAAUACUACACUAGUACUUGAUGGUUUUAGGCUGGGGAGACAUAUUGUGAUUUAGACAGCGGUGUCUUUAAUCAUGGCCAGAGACUGGAUUAAGUAUGUAACAUCGAUGAGCAGUCUCAGGCAGACAUGCUGGUAUUUCCUUCCCAUCUGUGCACCAGUGGCCCUUUAGCU